UACAGAGGUCUCAAGCGUUGUUCGGAUUCAUUGGGCGUAAAGGGCGCGUAGGCGGCUUUUCAAGUCGGGGGUGAAAGCCUGUGGCUCAACCACAGAAUUGCCUUCGAUACUGUUAGGCUUGAGACCGGAAGAGGUGAGUGGAACUGCGAGUGUAGAGGUGAAAUUCGUAGAUAUUCGCAAGAACACCAGUGGCGAAGGCGGCUCACUGGUCCGGUUCUGACGCUGAGGCGCGAAAGCGUGGGGAGCAAACAGG
rnacentral:rRNA from 1 species